ACACGAGUGGAGUUUAGGACUUGUCAUUCAUUGGACUGCUGUCAGAGAUCUGAAUGUUCAUUUCUCUGCUGGCUUCUUUAUUCGCUGACACUGGCAGAGAAAGGACACAAGAGGGCGCUCCUUCCCCUCCUAUAUGAGUCCAGGGAGCUGCACCUUUUCUGCCCGUUUAGGGGUCUCUUAAAAAUUCAGACCUGACUGACGUCGGUGAAACAUAUUUUUUACUACUAUUGGGGAAUUUUGAAUAUUUAUACUAGCACCCUUAGGGAAAUAUUUAUGCAGCUCAGGUCUUUGAUUCCAAUCAAAUCAAUCAAACAAAUAAUCGUAGUCAGUUUUUGAAGAACUUACAGUCUAAAGAAGAAACAUGUAUUUUAAAAAGUAACCAACCAGUUUACCCCCAUUAGCAUGGCUGUUAUAGAAAACACAAAAUAACAAAUGUUGGGAAGGAUGCAGAGAAAUUGGAAACUUUGUACAUUGCUGGUGGGAAUAUAAAUUGGCAGCUGUUAUGGAAAACAGUAUGGAGAUUCCUUAAAAAACUAAACAUAGAAUUAUUACAUGAUCCGGCAAUUCCACUUCUGGGUAUAGACCCAAAAGAGUUGAAAGCAGGGAUUCGAAGAGAUGUUUGUACACCCAUGUUCCUAGCAUUAUUAUUUACGAUAGCCAAAAGGUGGGAACAACCCAAGUGUCCACUGACAGACGAAUGGAUAACUAAAUGUAGUAUAUACAUUGGAACAUGUAUAUACGUGUUCAUACAACGUACAUGGUGGAAUGUAUGUACGUACAAUGUAUAUGUAUGUAAUACAAGUACAUACAAUAGACUAAUAUUCAGCCUUAAAAAGGAAGGAAUUUCUGACACAUGCUACAACAUGGAUGAAGCUUGAGGAUAUUAGGCUAAGUAAAAUAAGCCAGACACAAAAGGACAAAUACAGUAUGAUUUCCCUACCUGGAGCAGUCAAAUUCAAAGAGAGGGAAAGUAGAACAGAGAUUGCCAGAGGCUGUGGAGAGGGGAAAAUUGGGAGUUAGUGUUUAGUGGGUACGGAGUUUCAGUUUGGGAAAAUGGACGGUGGUGAUGGUUGCACAACAGUGUGAAUGUACUUAAUGCCACUGAACUGCACACUUAAAAAUGGUUAAGAUAAUGAAUUUUGUUAUGUGUUUUUUACCACAAUAAAGAAGAGAAUAAAGAGAGAAAAAAGCAACCAAAAUGUGUAGUUAUCAGUACUAAAAUAGAGGCAAGC
rnacentral:lncRNA from 1 species